UGUGGCGAACGGGUGAGUAACACGUGGGCAACCUGCCCAAAAGAGGGGGAUAACACUUGGAAACAGGUGCUAAUACCGCAUAACCAUAGUUACCGCAUGGUAACUAUGUAAAAGGUGGCUAUACUACCGCUUUUGGAUGGGCCCGCGGCGCAUUAGCUAGUUGGUAGGGUAAAGGCUUACCAAGGCAAUGAUGCGUAGCCGAAUUGAGAGGUUGAUCGGCCACAUUGGGACUGAGACACGGCCCAAACUCCUACGGAAGGCAGCAG
rnacentral:rRNA from 1 species